rfam:Felis catus breed Abyssinian Contig120367.1, whole genome shotgun sequence. [26-MAY-2016]
GCCUGGGUGGCUCAGUCGGUUGAGCGUCCGACUUCAGCUCAGGUCAUGGUAUCACGGCUUGUGAGUUCAAGCCCCACGUCAGGCU